rnacentral:rRNA from 1 species
CAGUCGCCGCGGUAAUACAGAGGGUGCAAGCGUUAAUCGGAGUUACUGGGCGUAAAGGGCGCGUAGGCGGUUAUAUAAGUGAGAUGUGAAAUCCCUGGGCUUAACCUAGGAACUGCAUCUUAUACUGUAUGGCUAGAGUAUUGUAGAGGGGGGUAGAAUUCCACGUGUAGCAGUGAAAUGCGUAGAGAUGUGGAGGAAUACCGAUGGCGAAGGCAGCCCCCUGGGCCAAUACUGACGCUCAUGCACGAAAGCGUGGGGAGCAAACAGGAUUAGAGACCCCCGUAGUCCCUGUCUCUUAUAC